UACGGGGGGGGCAAGCGUUGUUCGGAAUUACUGGGCGUAAAGGGCUGGUAGGCGGCCGGCCAAGUCGGAUGUGAAAUCCCUCGGCUCAACCGAGGAACUGCACUCGAUACUGGUUGGCUAGAGUCCGGGAGGGGAUGGUGGAAUUCCCAGUGUAGCGGUGAAAUGCGUAGAUAUUGGGAAGAACACCGGUGGCGAAAGCGGCUCUCUGGGACGGUACUGACGCUGAGACGCGAAAGCGUGGGGAGCAAACAGG
rnacentral:rRNA from 1 species